UUUAAGGAGAAAGAGAAUUUAAAACUUACCAAAAAAAAUUUUUAAUCGGCUGUAUUUGGUAAUUUUGCAAGUAAAAAAGUCCCAAAUACAAAUUUACUGCGGUUCAUUCAUACAUCAGAAGAUUUAUUGUCUUAUAAUACAGACAAGAUAGAACCAAAAAAAUAAAAAAACGUACAGCCCUUUUUAAUAUGUAACAUGAUUGGCCAAGAAAAAGGAAAUGUUUUUAUUCAGACGGAUGGACACUUAAUUUCAGUGAGCGAUGAUCCCAUGAUAUCACAGCUCAUAUUGUUGCGCGCCGCGCAUCGCCCGAUAUAUCCCUGAAACGCCAGUCAGCUGACGGACCGAUCGAUAUUUUCGAUCGGCCGGUUGCCGGGAAAGAUUUGUUAUAAAAUAAUUGAAUUGAACGGCUGGUUGCCGGGAAAUGUUUGUAAAUAAGAUUUGAAGACAGUUUAGCGUCGGACUCCUGCCGAGGAGGACGUGUCACGCGCUUCGUGUUUUGAGCUUGUUCGUUAAUAAAGUUAUUGAAAAGCACAUUACGGUUUAGUUUUCCUUCGGCGCGAGCGUGUGUGUGAGUGCGUGAGUGUUUCUCCGGUAAGGGUCAAGGGACUAUCUACGAUAGAACUUUAGAGGAGGUACGCGCAGUAGUACGAAAUCCCUCGCGAGAGUCCACUCCGACGGCAUAGCUGGAGCAAUUUGUUCCGGGAGAAACAAUAUAAUCUAACGUAUCGACCACGAUAAAAUCUGAAGAACUCCGUUCCGAGUCCCUUUAUCUUACCCUCCCUCUGCUCUCCUCUCGCACAACGCGCUCUCUUCUAUUCAAGCCCUGAUGCACAUUGAAUUUUAGAGUGAAUCUCCAAGGUUUUAUCUCCAUAGUGAGAUUUUCUAACGGACAUAACGUAAAGAUCUUCCUACGAUUAUCGAUUUAAUCUUCGAUUUAAUUUAUUAGAUUAGUCCGGUAAUAAAUAGAACAAAUUUUUUAAUUAUUAUUAGUAGUUAUACUUAUUUUAAUCAUGUCCAUUUCUGAAAAAACAAUACUAAAUACUUUUUAAUAAAGCAGUAAACAUUUCAAACGUAUUCGACGCAGCAAUAUAUUGAAAGAAACAUAUGAAUCUGUGACUAUUGACGUUACUGAAUUAAACGAUCGUCACACUUCUAAAAAUAUAAAAA